AGAGACUAUCCCCUUCCGGGCACUGGCCACACUUCGACAGGGUCUCAAACCUGCAGGCUCCACUUCCCACGGCCCCUGCUUCCCAAGGUACCUCCCUGCACACUCACUGCUCCCUCAGAGUCGCCAUACCCACCACCACCUCAAAAACUGUCCCCACCCAUCCUCCAGGAGGCUCACAGACUCCUAGAGACCCACGGUCAGGUGUGGUGAUGGUAGGAGCUGGCUUGGUGAUAGGCUUCUCCACCUUUCCCAGGUGCUCAGGCUGGGCUGGGGUGGGAGGCUCUCCUAGGCCCCAGGGGAGGUCCGCGUGUCCUUUCGCCUGUCAGUCUUAAAGUCCAGGGUAGAGGCCCCCAGGGAGAGGAGGCUGCAAUGAUGUCAGGGGCCCCAGAUGGGCACAGGGGACGUGGGGUGGGCAGGCCUGCGGUUCCCCCCCCAGACUUGCAGGCUGCCCCAUGGGCCCCAUGGGCCUGAGCAGGAAGUUGGGGGGCUGCCCUGCCCCUCGCCUCAGGUCUCAGCAGCAAACAUGUACGUGUUGGUCAGUUUCAUUUUGAUUUUUGACUGUUUCCUUUCACUCCCUUUCUUUUUUCAAACACCCUUACUCCCAGGGCCUCAUGAGGAAAGCCGAGGGCAGCUCACAGAAAACUCUGAGUCUCAAGAUCGAUUUUUGCUUAAGGACCUUACCUUUCUUGAGACUGCCCCCCCUGGAGAGGGCGCCAGGCUUCUGAGCUCCGAGGGGCCUCCCUGGGCCACAUAGGGAGGAUCCUAUGUCCCUGGAUCUUUCUUGGGAGUGGGAGAGGGCUCACAGAGGUAGCUGAGGGUGACCAGGGCAAGGACUAGCGCCACAGGUCACAGAGGUGGUGCCCAACCUGCGCAGACCUAGAAGAGAGAGCAUCCCCACCCCCAAUCCCACGGGCACAGAGCUGGAAGAGCACGGCUGAACUUCACACUCCGACCCGGAGAAGCGCAGGAACACAGGGGCUCUCAGUCCAGGCCUUCCUCCCGCCCCCUGCAGGCCUAAGCUAUACCCCAAGGGUCCAGGGCCCGUGCAGACGCAGUGCCCACCGCAGCUAAGUGGACCCCAGACAGAGCAGCCAGGGAAGGCGGCCAGCUUCUGGCCUGGGGGAAGAAGCCUCGGCAGCACCCCAAUCUUGUCUCCUCCCCCAAAGCGGCACGAAAUUUGGCCUUGCCCUGGGAGUUUUCUAGGAAACAGCACUUCGUGACUGUCUCACAAAGCCUGCUCCCCAAGCCUCUGCCGCCUUGGGCCCUGAGAGGUCUCAGGCCUGUCCCCACGCCCCAUCCCUCUUUGCCUGCAAAGCCUUUCUGAGACCAGAGCUCACUCCGGGGAGGGCAGGUGGGGGCUGGGGCUCCGACUUGGCCAAGAACCGAAAAUGCUUUUGGGAAAAGUACCGGAGGGGGGCGGUAUUCUUGGACGCUAUCUUUUUUAAAAAAGAGAGAGAGAAACAAAUGGGAAAAGAAAAAGCUCACGGUUUUUAACCCCGUCUAUGUUUUUGUUUGUUUUUUUAGCCUCCCAUUUGAAACGUGGUAACUCUGUGAUUCCGUUUCUUGUUUAGCCGCCAAGGGAAGAGGGCGGGAAGUUUGUGUAACUUUUUGUUAUUUUGUUUUUGUUUGUUUUUCUUUUCCUUCCUUUUUUUUUUUUUCUUUUUUGUAAUGUACAGAAAUGCAAAGUAUCUCUCUGGGUUUUUUUUCUAUCUUCUAUGUUGUUCUAGAAUUUUGCUUUUGUGCGUGUUACUGUUGGAACUCCUAAUGCAGAGAUGGUUUUUGAAUCUCAAGUGAACAUUAGUCAUGUACAUCUCUCUUUUUUUUUUCCUUUGUAAUCAGAAUUUAAAAGGGAAGAUAACUCUUUCAAAAAAAAAAAAAAAAAACCAAGACUCCCACACUAAGGCUUCUGCCAAGUCUGCGGUAGCAGCCAGCCCCAUCCUCAACCCCGGGGCAUGAACGAAACUGCUUCAGCUUUUAGAUUAACAAAAGGGGUGCAGGUGGUGGUUCCGUGUCUCAGCCUCUGAGGAACCUUGGAGAGAAGCUGGGACACCCAGGGAAGGGGAGAGGCAUGUCCCAGUUCACCCGGUUGCUUCCCAGAGCAGUGAGCUCCCUGUAUCUGGAAUAAGGCAGCUGGGCAAAACCGUUCAAGCUGCUCAGCUCCAUCCUGCCAGGCCUCAGAUCCUUAGGCCCCAGAGGAGGGAGCUAAUGACACCUGAUAAAGUUUAAUUCAGGAGUUCCCGUCGUGGCGCAGUGGUUAACCAACUAGGAACCAUGAGGUUGCAGGUUCGGUCCCUGCCCUUGCUCAGUGGAUUAAGGAUCCGGCGUUGCCGUGAGCUGUGGUGUAGGUUGCAGACGCGGCUCGGAUCCCGCGUUGCUGUGGCUCUGGUGUAGGCCAUGGCUAUAGCUCCGAUUUGACCCCCAGCCUGGGAACCUUCAUAUGCCGCGGGAGCGGCCCAAGAAAU
ensembl:lncRNA